CCCUUCCAACCCUUCGUAAAAACAGUGAUAAAUGUCAUUACAAUGUGCGGACUAAAAACAACCUUGUCGAAGACUACUAUCGGACGGUAAAAGGACGAGACAUUAACUAUUUCAUGAAGAAAUGUUACAAUACUCUUCCUGACUACAUCAGGGAUCUGGAAGAACAACAAUUCAGAAAAACAACCAGAGUGUUCCUUGGUGCCAAAGCAUUCUAUAGCAUCGAUGAGUACUUGAACUACAAGUUUGAUGGCUCCGAAUAAUAAAGUGGCAAUUGUGCUUCCCUAUACUGUGACGUGUGGAAAUAUUUUCUGUAUAAACCCCACCAAUAAAUAUUAUUAUUAUUAUUAUUAUUAUUAUGAAGAUGAAUUUGGUUAUCUACAUUUCAAGUACAUGGCUAUGAAUUUCUCGAGGAAUGCCUAGAAUAUGCCAAAGGCGAUAGGAAACUGUUUCCCAAUAACUUUACAGACCAAUUAUUGACCUAUAGUAGAGAGAGAGUUGGGUGCUGAACGAAUCACAAAAAACCAGACUACAAGCUACUGAAAUGAAGUACUUGCGAAGGGUACGGGGGGUUGGUGGAAUUCCUAGUAAGAUUAUAAAAAAAGAAGUGGAUGCUCUGAUAGAGACAUUUGAUAGACAAAAAUUAAAACGCUUAUUUGGACGCCUUGGAGGAAUGGAAAACAGUCAGCUUGCGAAACCGUACAUAUGGAACACUGGAAUUCAAAAUAGGAAGAAAAGGGGAAGCAUAAAGACAAUAUGGGAUAUGCACCUAAGUAGCAAGAAUACUUCAACAUCAAAGCAUAGAAUGGGAGGAGGCUAAUGGUGCCUCUAGACUAGAAAGAAAUGAAGUCAACUAUUUAUCAUUUUUACGGACUUACUUUAAGUGUAAAUAUGCGAAUAAAAUUUAUAUUAUCGUUGCGACAUUAUUCAACAGCUAAAGUGGUUUGAAUUUGCAAGUACAGAAAUAUCGGGCGAUCAAAAAUGAGGUGCUGUCGAGUCGCCUUUGGAAGUUCAAUUUAAGGUCAAUAGUAUACUUGAAAGAAUGGGAGAAAACCCGAAAGGAGAUUGAGAUACAAACUCACAAUUCCGAGCAGGUUUUCCAUGUUUGUGAAUUUCCUCCAUUUAAGAAACACCUACUGAAAUAAAAUAAAUGUACGUUGCAGCGUUGAGUUUGAACUAGUAUUACAAGAUAAAUUGAUCCGGAUCGUUCCAACAGGUUGUGAAGGUAAAGAAUUUUUACAUCUGCUACCGAUUAUUGGCAUUGGACGGUAAUAAAAAUCUACCUUAUACUCCAAAAGUCUACGAUGCGGAUGUUGUUAUAUUUACGAGGAAGGUAGU